GAUGAACGCUGGCGGCGUGCCUAAUACAUGCAAGUCGAGCGAACGGACGAGAAGCUUGCUUUUCUGAUGUUAGCGGCGGACGGGUGAGUAACACGUGGAUAACCUACCUAUAAGACUGGGAUAACUUCGGGAAACCGGAGCUAAUACCGGAUAAUAUUUUGAACCGCAUGGUUCAAAAGUGAAAGACGGUCUUGCUGUCACUUAUAGAUGGAUCCGCGCUGCAUUAGCUAGUUGGUAAGGUAACGGCUUACCAAGGCAACGAUGCAUAGCCGACCUGAGAGGGUGAUCGGCCACACUGGAACUGAGACACGGUCCAGACUCCUACGGGAGGCAGCAGUAGGGAAUCUUCCGCAAUGGGCGAAAGCCUGACGGAGCAACGCCGCGUGAGUGAUGAAGGUCUUCGGAUCGUAAAACUCUGUUAUUAGGGAAGAACAUAUGUGUAAGUAACUGUGCACAUCUUGACGGUACCUAAUCAGAAAGCCACGGCUAACUACGUGCCAGCAGCCGCGGUAAUACGUAGGUGGCAAGCGUUAUCCGGAAUUAUUGGGCGUAAAGCGCGCGUAGGCGGUUUUUUAAGUCUGAUGUGAAAGCCCACGGCUCAACCGUGGAGGGUCAUUGGAAACUGGAAAACUUGAGUGCAGAAGAGGAAAGUGGAAUUCCAUGUGUAGCGGUGAAAUGCGCAGAGAUGUGGAGGAACACCAGUGGCGAAGGCGACUUUCUGGUCUGUAACUGACGCUGAUGUGCGAAAGCGUGGGGAUCAAACAGGAUUAGAUACCCUGGUAGUCCACGCCGUAAACGAUGAGUGCUAAGUGUUAGGGGGUUUCCGCCCCUUAGUGCUGCAGCUAACGCAUUAAGCACUCCGCCUGGGGAGUACGACCGCAAGGUUGAAACUCAAAGGAAUUGACGGGGGCCCGCACAAGCGGUGGAGCAUGUGGUUUAAUUCGAAGCAACGCGAAGAACCUUACCAAAUCUUGACAUCCUUUGACAACUCUAGAGAUAGAGCCUUCCCCUUCGGGGGACAAAGUGGCAGGUGGUGCAUGGUUGUCGUCAGCUCGUGUCGUGAGAUGUUGGGUUAAGUCCCGCAACGAGCGCAACCCUUAAGCUUAGUUGCCAUCAUUAAGUUGGGCACUCUAAGUUGACUGCCGGUGACAAACCGGAGGAAGGUGGGGAUGACGUCAAAUCAUCAUGCCCCUUAUGAUUUGGGCUACACACGUGCUACAAUGGACAAUACAAAGGGCAGCGAAACCGCGAGGUCAAGCAAAUCCCAUAAAGUUGUUCUCAGUUCGGAUUGUAGUCUGCAACUCGACUACAUGAAGCUGGAAUCGCUAGUAAUCGUAGAUCAGCAUGCUACGGUGAAUACGUUCCCGGGUCU
rnacentral:rRNA from 1 species